CCAAGGGUGUCUUCGGGCACGCAUGGAGUGAAGAAGCGGAGGCGAGGAGUCCCAUACAGCGAGGCUACGACAGGGAGUGAAACUCCCCUCCCCUCCCCUCCUGCAAGUGGAAGACGGGAUCGCAGCACCUGGGAAGCUGACACUCACCUGAGAAACAGGCUCCAGGGUGGAACACCAAGCAGGGAAAAGAAGUGGAAAUGUAGAUCUCCUAUCACAUCCAGGUGAUGGUCCGGGUAAAGAUGCAGCAACGACCAAGCAGGACACCGGAAAGUCAUGCACCAAGUCCGGGUCUCCAAACGGGAGCAAGAUGCAUUGGAAAAAAGAUGAGCACAGGAUAACAUAGAGAACACCUAGCCUUCAAGGAAAGACCAAGACAAAAAUUCAGGAGAAGAGUUAUUCAAGUAACUGAAUAAGGAUGUGGCAACCAUCAAUCUUCCUGGAGCAUGGUGCAUGCAUGAGGGCCACCCAGACCUUUGAUGUGUAUGCCUAGGGAGGAAUUUUUGGAGGAGUAGAGGCUGUCCAGACCUUCCAUCCUCCCUUUAGGCCACUGAGACAGAAUCCAAAGACCAGACUGAGUCCAGAUGUUUGCUGCAUCCGUGGCUGUAGUUGUAUAAGCGUCUGGGAAUUGAACCCAGGUCUUCUGCGUGGUAGACAGAGGUUCUACCAAGGAUGCUGAACCACAGGGGACUCCACUGAAUAAGAAUAACAAACAUCAAUAAACAUGGCCUCUUUUAAACAAACAUAUGGCCUUAACUGGUCACCAGAGUAAAAACAAAUUAGGACCUUCAGGAAAAAAAUGCCAUUCCAUAGGCUAUCCUUGACAUUUAUUUCCUUAUCAAGCUGGAACAAUCCUUUACCUAAAUAAGAAUAAAUCAGUUAUCUAAUGGACACAAGAAUGCACAUAUAUCCAACAUAAUGUACCCAAUAUCCAGAUUAAUAAUUAUAGCAAACACUCUAAUCUGAGCAAAAAUAAGAUCAAAUUCUAGUCAUACAUAACUCAUUGGCUUUAUAUGAAUAUCUUCAUUGCUUUAAUAGGACAUGGGGGCAAAAAUUCAUAGAAUUAGGUCCCCACCAUUCCACAGUCUGAAUUUUAUAUUCGCUCAAAAAAUUCAUACACAUCAUAUGAAGUGGAACACCAUUUUUUAAGUUAAUUAGAAUCAGGAAGGUGUCCUAAUGUGAGCACAUUAGAAUCCCUUACCAAAAUGAACCAUGUUAUGUUUAAAAGCAAACAUUCCAUGUGUUUACAGCUCUUUGAGCUUUUCAUCUCUGCUUGAUUCCAAGUCAUCCCUGUUAAAGCUAACUAUGUCAAAAGCAUUAGAUGCGGGGCUGUUUUCGUUCUGAUGUCCUUCAGUUCUUAGUACCUAUCUGCUUUGCUGUCAGUAAUAGACAGCACGUCUGAAUCUCAACAGCCCUAAAAAAAGCUACUUGUAUUUAAUGAUAUCAGUCUAAAUUAAACCGGUUCUCCAAGUUCUGGUAACCAGUGUUGCCUAUCACUUACAUCUUGUAUGCAGCCAAAUACAGUCAGACUUUCAAGUACUCAGCUCCUACUCAGCCAUAUAAGUAAGGUCAGAUUUACAACAGAAUUCAUAACCAGCAAUUUCCCUGAAGAAACUUAACAGACAGAUUUUCAAGAGCACUCUGCACACAGCAUCCUGAGAGCUCCUUUGGGGGAAAAAAAACAAAAAAAAAAAACUUUAUUGUGAUUCCUAAAAGGAAAAUUAACUCAUCUGCAAAAUCUGGCCCUCUACAUAUGCUCCUAAGGACAAAUCAAACACUGGCUAGAAAACAAAGCACAGCUGUGCAGCCUCUCUUAUACUAUCCUUGUGCUUACUGCCCAGGUUCUCAGAAUGGAUGAGACCUGGAGGGAAGGGCCCUGAUCCACCUACAAUUAUACGUACACACACACACACACACACACACACACACACAUACAUAUACACGCACAUACACACUUUACAAGACUUACCUUUCCAUUCAGAGAAGAUUAUAGCAAUAUAGUGAGAUGGUUCAUAUGUAUCCUAUUCAAAUGACAGAUACUGGUGAUUAUUUAAUAUUUACUCCAGUGUCGCAUCUUAUCUUCUUACCCCUAAACGGGACUCUUUUGGCUACUUCUGUCUGAAUACUUAGUUUGCCUUUCAACAACCCAUCUCCCUUUAACCUUUCCAGAUAGGUCAAUUGCAAGGAGGGGUGGGGAACUGUGCUGAAAACGGUCUAGAAUGCCUAUUAAAAAUAGCAGGAACAGUGAGAUAGAAAACAUCUCAUUGGAUGCUUUGGGUCCAAUAGCCUGGAAAUUUACCAGGAUUCACCAGUGAAGUCAACAAAGAUGCAGCUAGCUGGGAUCUGAAGUCAAGUUGGAAGGAAAAUAUUCUUUGAAACCUGUGUCAGGAAAGAAGGAUAUAGGAAGUUACAUGGGAAUGUGAGGUUUGGCCAGGAGACUUUAGAUGAGGGAGGAAUGAUGAAUAGGGUGGCCUCCACACAAUUAGAUACUAGACCUAACCGCUCCUACACAAUUCUUCAUCUUCUGUUAUUUUUAAACAUUAGGCACUUAAGCAUGAUUCUGUUUCACCCUGCUUGAGUCCCUGAAAAACUGUUCAUACAAAAGUUAUGGGUUUUUUUACUUAGGGUAGAAACAAAUGUCACAUGACAUUGCAUUUGCACCACCAUGAAAAUGUUUAUGGAGAGACAAAUGGUGAUCAAAUACAUGUCUCUAUACAUCAUCAUAACAUUGCAGGCAAAUCAGCGGUGUAACAAAAGGUACUAAUAAAAAAGUGUGCCACUUUAUUGCAGUGUAAUAGACAUCCUGUGCUGCUCACACUUUUAUGCUGCCCGGAACAGGUGUCCUGGGGGUUUAAAGAGCCCAAUUCUGCAGACUCCACACACUGUGGGAAUUCCCCUGAGUCCCCCAGAGAAGGGUUUCUCAGCCAGUGGGACACUGGUAGGACAUGAAGGUCCUCUAGGUGGGACUCAGGUCGCAAUGGCAAAACUGCCUCUGGGGGACCCUUCCCCCUCACUCAUCAACCAGUGGGACCAGGAUUUUUUGACCUUACAUAGGUGGGAUGUAAGGUGCAAAAAGUUAACUGCUGCCCCAGAGCACCUGCCCGACUUACCUAGCAUCAUCAAGGGCACACCUCUGUAAGUACGGAAAGCCUGCAUUGGUCUUAGCAUGGAGGCAGGGGACCCAGGGAAUCCCCAGCAUCCUGUGCCUCUACACUGGGAUCUGCUUAGGCAGACCUGUCCCUGGGAUCUCUAGGAACCUGUCUAGGUAAGCAAGGAAAAUUGAGGUUUCCUCGCUUACCCUGACCCAUUCCCAUCUUCCCCUGUUUACCCAGACACAUCCCUAGAGAUCCUGGGGACAUGCCUGAGUAAGAGGAGAAAGCUGAGUGACAUGGGAUGGGAUCCUCAAGGACAGCCAUGAUGUCCCAAGGCCCCUUGACCGUGCCAAUUUGACCCAGUGGGCACCCUCAGUUCUCACCUGCCACAUCUUUGAUGGAAAUAUAAAAAUAGGGAGGCUGCCUUUAAGUCCUCUUGGACAUGGUUUGAUGGACUCUGAACUCCAUUGGUUCCCAGACCCCUUGUAGGUCCUGUUUCACAAUGGGUCUUUUGGGGGCACCCUAGCCUUAUGGGUUAUACGUAUGGCUCGCAGAUGGUACUGCUAUUGUCUUGCCUAGGCCUCAUUAUAAUUUGACCCCUUGUCCUCACUGGGCUCUCCGGAGCCCUUGUCACUAUGCCCCUUGGCACUGGGCUUUCUGCAGCCUCUGUCACUACACCGCAAAGUGCCACGCCCUCUCUGGCGCCAGGGUCUGUGCCCCCCAAAUGCCACGCCCCCUCUGGUGCCAGGGUCCCCACACUGCUGUGGGCCCCCAAUGAGGCCUCCUCCUUCCCCAAAUAGCUUCAUCCAAACCACUGGUCUUAUAAACGGCAAACAAAACAUAAGCCCCUGCGCUAUAACAUAACACAAACUACAUAAGGUGUGCUCAGCCCCUUUACAUUACCCAGAGCAGAACUUAGUCAGGCCUCUUCCCUUCUCUUGCUCUAGGAGGGCUCCUUCUCCCUUGGCCACCAGCAGAGAACUUACCUCCCUAGUCCUCGUCCUGGGGUUUAUAUGGGCCCAGGGCCCUGCCCCUUCUGGCUAGCUGACCAGGUACAGGCUAAUUUCCUCAUUAGCUGGUUGCCAUGGCAAGCUGCACCUGGGCUCCUGUCUGGCUCUUUGGGCUCUUCCUGGGUAGUUUCUGCUCUUUUAGGAGCAGGCACCUAAGUGCCCUGUGACACUGAGCAAUCACCCCCAGAGCUUCAGAGGCCCAAUCCAGCCCAGGAAUUCCUGGGGUGCACAGGACCAGGCUCCUCAAGCCCUGGGAGAAUACAUUGCCCCUUAUCCUACUGCCUCAAUGGGUGAGACAAGGGGCCACACGUAUUUUGCCCAAUGAAGCAGCACAGCUGUGCCAUGACACAUCAUGAGAGAGCUGAUCUGCUUCAUUGGGCAACGUACAAAAACAGAUGCAUUCAUGAAUUUUCAGGGACUCAAACAGGAUGGAAUAGGAUCACACCUAGAAGUCUAAUAGUUGUAGUAACUGGUACUCAGUUAUCCAUCUAUAAAUCUGAGUGUAACAACUCUGGAGUUCUCCUUUCCCCAUGUUUUAAGCUUUCUAUACCUUAGUUUCUUAAUGCUUGAAAUAAAGAAUAUGCUGCUGCCUCUGAA